CCGAUCACUGGGGACACCCUGAAAGAGACUGAGAAGGAGCAGCCAGGGUGUGGGAGGGAGCUGCAAGCGUGUGGCGUCUCAGCAACCAGGGUUGCAGGGCGUGGCCAACAGAACCACACCUGCUCAGAGUCCAGGUGGGUACAGAGGAUGCACGUGAAGCUCAUGCCCACACAGCGGCCUGCCCCCCUCCGCUCCCCCGUUCCUGAGCCACACAAGUUCCUUUGGCGGGACAGAGAAGCAUCAACACAGAAACAUCUGUAGAAAAUAAAGCUGGCUUUUCCACGGAUAUGGUGGAGGAGUUUCUGUGAGCACUGGGCUCCGUUGUGUCUCCACUCCAGCCUGUUUUCUCCAGCGGUGCCCCCCAGGCCAGGCCCACCCCUCGAGAAAUUCUGCACACUGAGCAGAUGGCACCAUGCUUUUCAGAGUGAGAGCUGGAACAGACCUUUGACGUGGUCCAGCCCGACUGAGUUGUUUUCUAGAUGAGAGACCUGAGCCCCAGAGCAGGGGGA